rnacentral:rRNA from 1 species
AUGAAGAAAUUUAUCAAGACUCAAGUACAGUCCUGCUUGGUGUGUCAGCAAGCUAAGCCAGACAGAGUUCAAUACCCUGGGUUGUUAUCUCCUCUGCCAGUGCCUAAUAAAGCUUGGGACACAGUGUCCAUGGAUUUUAUAUCAGGUCUUCCUACAUCCUUCCAGUAUGAUUACAUACUGGUGGUGAUCGACAAGUUCUCUAAGUAUGGCCAUUUCAUUUCUCUAUCACACCCAUUCAAUGCUCAGGAAGUGGCUAAAGUUUCCAUAGAUAAUGUGUAUAAGUUACAUGGUAUGCCCAGGUUGAUAAUCUGUGAUAGGGAUCCCAUUUUCACUAGCUCCUUCUGGCAACUGCUCAUCUCAAGAACUGGAGCAGAACUAAAUAUGAGUACAACAUAUCACCCAGAGACUGAUGGACAGACUGAAAUAGUAAAUCAGCAAAUUGAGUGCUUAUUGAGGUGUUUUAUCAGUGCUCAUCCAACUAAGUGGAGCAAGUGGCUGUCACUCUAUGAAUUCUGGUACAAUACCAACUGGCAUUCUGUACUGAAUAAAUCGCCCUUUGAGAUCAUUUAUGGACAGACUUCACGAUUCUUUGGAGUAUCUGCUUCUGAUACGAUUGCUCCAGUAGAUAUCCAAUCCUGGCUAGACUCGCGGAAAUUGAUGAUUGAUUCAGUCAGACAACAUCUGUUGCGUGUACAACAGAGAAUGAAGCACCAGGAACAUAAGAAAUGA